AACGACUUUGCACAAUUAAAGCACCGAUUAGAAACCCUCAGCCCCUUGAUCUUCUCCUAAACACCAAACAAACCCCAUUAACCAAUGAUUCACUAACAAAAACAAUAAUCGCACUUACCAAACUUAACAAAAACGCACAAUGAGCACCAAAAUAAUGAGAUAUGGAAAUUUGACAGUAGGAAAACAAAACCAAAUUCGCCGAAAAGGAAAACGACGGAGAAAAUGGAAGAGAAAAUAAAGAAAAAAUUAACGUCAGAUUUUUUUGGGAAUUUUUAGAAGAGAGGAAAUUUUAAAAAAAAAAGAAAAUUAAAAAAAAUAUGUUAUCAAAUCCCAACUCCCCCACUAACCACUCAACCUCAACUACCUCAGAAUCCCAGAACCACCGAAACUCUACCAUGCAACCGAGUAGAAAAACACAUCCACGCUAGCGCAAAGAUUCGAAC
rnacentral:lncRNA from 1 species